AUUGAACGCUGGCGGCAGGCCUAACACAUGCAAGUCGAACGGUAACAGGAAACAGCUUGCUGUUUCGCUGACGAGUGGCGGACAGGUGAGUAAUGUCUGGGAAACUGCCUGAUGGAGGGGGAUAACUACUAGAAACGGUAGCUAAUACCGCAUAACGUCGCAAGACCAAAGAGGGGGACCUUCGGGCCUCUUGCCAUCGGAAGGGCCCAGAUGGGAUUAGCUAGUAGGUGGGGUAACGGCUCACCUAGGCGACGAUCCCUAGCUGGUCUGAGAGGAUGACCAGCCACACUGGAACUGAGACACGGUCCAGACUCCUACGGGAGGCAGCAGUGGGGAAUAUUGCACAAUGGGCGCAAGCCUGAUGCAGCCAUGCCGCGUGUAUGAAGAAGGCCAUCGGGUUGUAAAGUACUUUCAGCGGGGAGGAAGGGAGUAAAGUUAAUACCUUUGCUCAUUGACGUUACCCGCAGAAGAAGCACCGGCUAACUCCGUGCCAGCCGCCGCGGUAA
rnacentral:rRNA from 1 species